UACAGAGGUCCCAAGCGUUGUUCGGAUUCAUUGGGCGUAAAGGGUGCGUAGGCGGCGCGGUAAGUCGGCUGUGAAAUCCCGAGGCUCAACCUCGGGUCUGCAGUCGAUACGAGCAAACUAGAGUGUUGCAGGGGAGACUGGAAUUCCUGGUGUAGCGGUGAAAUGCGCAGAUAUCAGGAGGAACACCGGUGGCGAAGGCGGGUCUCUGGGCAACAACUGACGCUGAGGAGCGAAAGCGUGGGGAGCGAACAGG
rnacentral:rRNA from 1 species